GAUGAAGAACGUAGCGAAAUGCGAUAAGUAAUGUGAAUUGCAGAAUUCAGUGAAUCAUCGAAUCUUUGAACGCACAUUGCGCCCGCCAGUAUUCUGGCGGGCAUGCCUGUUCGAGCGUCAUUUCAACCCUCAAGCCCAGCUUGGUGUUGGGGAUCGGCACAGGCGCCCUCGGGCGCCCGCCGUCCCCUAAAUCUAGUGGCGGUCCCGCUGCAGCCUCCUCUGCGUAGUAGUUUUCUCCUCGCAAGGGCAGCUCGGUGGCGACCUCGCCGUAAAACUCCCAACUUCUGAAAGGUUGACCUCGAAUCAGGUAGGAAUACCCGCUGAACUUAAGCAUAUCAAUAAGCGGAGGA
rnacentral:misc_RNA from 1 species